rnacentral:rRNA from 1 species
CCUACGGGAGGCAGCAGUGGGGAAUAUUGGGCAAUGGGCGCAAGCCUGACCCAGCAAAGCAGCGUGAAGGAAGAAGGCUUUCGGGUUGUAAACUUCUUUUAAUAGGGGAGAGCAGAAGACGGUACCUGAUGAAUAAUCCACGGCUAACUACGUGCCAGCAGCCGCGGUAAUACGUAGGUGGCAAGCGUUAUCCGGAUUUACUGGGUGUAAAGGGAGUGUAGGCGGGAGUGCAAGUCAGAUGUGAAAACUAUGGGCUCAACCCAUAGCCUGCAUUUGAAACUGUACUUCUUGAGUGCUGGAGAGGUAAGCGGAAUUCCGGGUGUAGCGGUGAAAUGCGUAGAUAUACGGAGGAACACCAGUGGCGAAGGCGGAUUGCUGGACAGUAACUGACGCUGAGGCGCGAAAGCGUGGGGAGCAAACAGGAUUAGAUACCCGAGUAGUC